rnacentral:rRNA from 1 species
AGUGAACGCUGGCGGUAGGCCUAACACAUGCAAGUCGAACGGCAGCACAGUAAGAGCUUGCUCUUACGGGUGGCGAGUGGCGGACGGGUGAGGAAUACAUCGGAAUCUACUUUUUCGUGGGGGAUAACGUAGGGAAACUUACGCUAAUACCGCAUGCGACCUACGGGUGAAAGCUGGGGAUCUUCGGACCUUGCGCGAUUGAAUGAGCCGAUGUCGGAUUAGCUAGUUGGCGGGGUAAAGGCCCACCAAGGCGACGAUCCGUAGCUGGUCUGAGAGGAUGAUCAGCCACACUGGAACUGAGACACGGUCCAGACUCCUACGGGAGGCAGCAGUGGGGAAUAUUGGACAAUGGGCGCAAGCCUGAUCCAGCCAUACCGCGUGGGUGAAGAAGGCCUUCGGGUUGUAAAGCCCUUUUGUUGGGAAAGAAAAGCAGCAGGUUAAUACCCCGCUGUUCUGACGGUACCCAAAGAAUAAGCACCGGCUAACUUCGUG